CCUGGCGACAAUAGCGACGUGGCACCACCUGAAUCCAUUUCGAACUCAGAAGUGAAACACGUUAGCGGCGAUGGUAGUGUGGGGUCUCCCCAUGUGAGAGUAGCACAUCGCCAGGC
rnacentral:rRNA from 1 species